GGACUGCCAAUUUGUUAACCAGAUAUGAAGUCUGUAUUGCAUUGACCCUUUUUUUGUACAAAGCAGUUAAAGGACUUUUAUUAUGAAAUUAACUUAAUGCGCAAAUCGGACCUGUAUAAAGAGCGACACAUUUCCGCUGUUUGUGUGUGUGUGCUUUGUGAAGGACGCAGCCUGCAGUUUGACGUCUUUCUCUUCCUUUUAUUGUACUUGUGCGUCUCACUGAAAAUGGAAAUAAGUUCUUACGGUGUCUACUUGAAUGUCAACGUAUUAAACAUUUUUGGAAACAUCAGUUAAGGAGCAAAGACCAUCAUUUCAGUGGGGUAGCAACACUUUAUAGGUCAGGCACCCAAAACUGUACUGCUGACUACUUCUCCUGUACACCUCAUGAGGCGUCUGGAGGAGGGGGCGGGGGGUGUGUCACAAGGUAAGCUUGGUGACAGACAAGAGACACAUGCACACGUCAUUAUUUGAUUAUACCAGUGUUUACCAUCUUUUAAACUAUCAUGGUGUUGUGUAAUUAUUGUGCUGUACCAAAUGUUGUUUUUGUUGUUGUUGUUUUUUUGGCAGACAUUUUGUUUAAUCAGUUGUUCUUUUUAAAGAAUGUGACAAUAUAGCUUAAUUCCAGUCAGAAUUACCUUUUAUUUUAGGUUGGAAUUUCCUCCAAACAUUUUGUUUGGCUGUUGGCCUUCCAGUCUCAUGCUGUACCAUCAAACAGACCAAGUUCAUCAAACUGUUUUUUAUAGCAUUAGCAUGCUUUUAUUGGUCUGAACCAUUGGUAUUUUUGUCUGGGAAGAAGGGGAAAUAACAGCCUCACAAUUCUUUACUUUUCUUUUUCUUUUUCUUUUUAUGGAGUGUUUAAGUAUUCAAGGGUUCAUACAGAUUGUUAUUUCUGGGUAUGUUUAAUGUUUUAUUAUUUCAUUUUUUCCUGUGUAUAAUAUGUUGUAUGCAUGGACCCUGUUUGUUCAUAUGGUACAGUCUAGAGGAGCUAUAGCGCUUAUCAGGCCAUUAUUGUUUGUUGAAAACUAAAGGAAAGACCCUGUUGCAAAUUGGACCAAUGUAUUAAUUUGUUGUAGCCUUUAUUUGCACAUUGUUGCAGUUUGUUUUGUACAGUUUUUGUUGGUAGUCCAGUAUGUUUCCAUGGAAUUUGUCAAUCGUUUAUUUGUUAUCUGGCUAUGCUCGGUGUUCAUCUUCAGUUCUCUCUUCACAGCAGUUUAGUCAGUGUACUGUUUGAGUACAUGAAUUACUCUACAGUCUACUGCAGAAAGACAAUAUGGUCUGGCAAGGUUGCACAGGCUACCAGUAGCCGCUUGCAUCAAAUUCAAGGUACUGAUGCUUGCCUACAAGACGACCAUGGUCACUGGUUAAAUCUUAUGUGCCUUCCAGAAGUUUGCGCUCUGCAAGUGAACGACGCCUUGUGGUGCCAUCCCAAAGAAGUUCAAAAUCACUCUCACGGACCUUUUCCUGGACUGUGCCCAGCUGGUGGAAUGACCUCCCAAUCUCAAUUCGAGUCUUUACUCACUUUCAGUGACAGCUCUUAACCAACUAAUACUAGCACUUUUCCUUUUCUUGUCUUUUCAUUUAAUAAAUAAAAAAAUAAAAAACCUGGCUAUGCGUUCUAUACUAGAAUAACUGAGACUUGUCAUGGCGCUUGUAUACUGUUGUUGUUCUCUUGUUGACCUAACUGCUUCGAUUGUUCUCAUUUGUAAGUCGCUUUGGAUAAAAGCGUCUGCUAAAUGAU